UGUCAUGAAAUAUCAACCAUUAGGGUUCCUAAUCGGCUUGGACUUGGGCAUUGCAUCUGGCUUGCCUUAAAUGCGUUAGUGGAUGACCCAUUAGCUUGACGUAAUAAGUUUCGUCAGUCGAGUGGUCAGCAUUUGCUUACAACAACCAAUAUUUCUUAAUCUCUGACCUCAAAUCAGGUAGGACUACCCGCUGAACUUAA
rnacentral:misc_RNA from 1 species